ensembl:snoRNA
GCACGGACUUGGAUUUAUGACAGGCUCAUCCUCCUGGGUCCCCCAUCGUGCCCCCUGCCAGAGCAAACUGGCCCCGACCCAUGCCCGGUCUCUGCCUGUGGGAUGCUGCCUCUGAAGCGGGUUGCACGAUG